CGACUUCAAAAUAUAAAAUCUUGAUCUUUCUGUUGUUGUUACUCCUACUUUUUAAGAAGCAACAAAAAAUGGAAUUCUCCAUUUUCUCUAAAAGCUCCAAAGACUUCUGAAAACUACUUCUGAUUUUGAGUGGCAGAGGAGUAAAAAGACCCCUAAACAUGAGGAGAAAGAAGAAUCCGUAGGGCUCUGCUGUCCACGUGGGAUGAGAUUCCAAAAGCACCAUUCUUGUUCAAUCUCCCUCAGAGUCACACAGCCCCAAAGUGCUCAGUAUGAUUCAGAGGCACUGAAAUCUCCCAAAGAAUAAAUAAUAAUAAUAAACCCCAGGUAUGUGGCGCUUUCCACGUUUUGCAGCUGCUGUUUAAUCACGAAGUUUUCCCUUAAAGCCGAGCCCACAGUGAAUUCUCUCCCCGACUCGAUCUCAGCGCCAAUUCCGUCUCUGGCCAGUAGAUGGCACCAUGCAUUCAUUGUACAGGAUGGAGGCCAGAAAGAAGUGAAAUUUCAUCCCAUCAAAAGAGCAUACACCCAAUCUGACACACAAAGGUCAGGAAUUAAAUUCGGAGGGUGCACCUUUCUCCUCGUGUCACCCUUCCAAAAAAAUAAAGGCCGUGGAGCAUGCUGUGCUAUACACUGAGAUGCUAUCAGCAGCUGCACCUAACGCGUCCCCAGCUCGCCCUGUCACUGACCUACAUUGCCUUGUGACUUCUUGUGAGAUUAAAACCAAAAAGAUAACCUUUUCUCCAUCCUCCAUAGCUCUGAACAGCGGCACCACCAGAGCAGGUCUCCCCUCCACUGGAAGAAGUCAGGAACGACCACCUGUGAGUGCAGAGGCCGGGAGGCAGGGCUGGAGAUACAGCCCCACCGGUUGACCUCACCUGGGGCAUCUGCUCCAUGGACAAAGCCCCAUUAGCUCUGAUACUGCAGCAUUCCGUGAGCUAACCACAGCUUGUUGGCAAGCUGACUACAAAGAGGUGGAGGAAAGUUUACAGGCCACUUUCUGCUGUGCAAACUGCGACACUUCUACCUGGAAUUGUAGAGGCAGCCCCUACCACGUUGUUCAGCAGUGCCCUUGAACUCCAAGGAGCACGAUGUGAGGCCAACCAUUGCCACAGCAGCAUCUGCCUGCCAGUAGGCAAGCUGUGCUCAGAGGAGCAGCUCGGCCCACCUGGCUGUCCCUCUUUGCUCCUGGCCCAGCCAAGCUCACCCUAACCAGAGCCAUGGGACAACUGGUUUGCCAGCAGCACUUGCCUGGCACCUCCUCGUGCCCACCCUGCUGCUGUAGGGCUGUCCUGGCAGGUGCUCAGCAUAGAGAAGUGUGCACAGAAGCAUGCAAGAGACACGCAAGGUGUGCUCAGCCCCAUCAAAAAUCUACUGCCUCGAAUGUGGGCUUUCUGUGCCCAUACGUAUGAAUGGUGAGUGUGAAAAUCCUGUCCACUUAAGAAGAAUAAUUCAGACAACAGUAUCAACCAUGGCACAGAGCGACAUUUGAAGACAGAGAGCAAAGUAGCACAGGGGGGAAAAGAGAAGCCUAUCUCACACAGCAUGGAGCCAUCCUGUCUCAGGCCAUGGAGAAGGUGCCAUGCAUCUGUCCCCUCAGGGCUCACAAGCCUUUUCUCUACCUGGCCAACCCUCACUGCUUUCCCAGACUACCCAGCAGACACAGCUCAGGAAUUACCAGCACCAUUAGCAGUGACACCAUUGAUUGAGCAUGAGCAAUACCAGCUUGGAUUUUGCCACCAGUCAGUGCUCAGUAAUGGCACAGCACAAAGGCCCCGCUUGUAGGGUGAGAAGGGCUGUCUGUUGCCUGUCCCUGGAGCAAGGCGUGAGUGGGCUUGACUGAGAUGGCAGCAACUGCACCGUCACAAGCCAUAGUCUUAGGAAAAAGGCAGAACAGUGGAGAUUAAAUGACAGCACUGAAUCAAAGAAUGACUCUCCCCAGAGGCUGGGACAGUCCAGGCUUCCCUGCGACACCUGCUAGAGGCACGCAGGAAGGCCUGGAGCAGUCCCUGGGGAGCUCUGGCAGCCACAGGCCGAGGGGCAGCCUUCAGACACAGCUGCAGGACAGCAGGGCCCACAGCCAGGCAUUGGGCUGCACGUCCGCUUCUCGGCCUGCUGUUACGGGCUGAAAAACAACCAUGUGCCCUAUGGCUGCUUAGGACACGGCCACCCUUUCCUCUGGCUGCUUCUCCAGCUUACACAGACUAGUAAAAUAAUUUUUUGCAUGAGAAGGAGGCAUGAGAGACAUGAUUUUCACCUGAGAGACAUGGCCUCAGCUGCAGCCUAAGCACCUGCAUAGCCAUGUUUUCCACAGGCAGGGACAGAGCCGAGCCAGGGAAGGCUGAGCAGUGCCUCAGGCCACACAGCGAAGUUAUGAAACAAAAACAAUGACCUGCUUGAAAAUCAGUCUGAAAUACAGCAACCUGCAACUUCUGCUCAGCUCAAACAAACAAAAACAAGGGUUAGCAUUAUACAAUGCAGUGGCAGGGAGGAAGUGGCCAGCAACAAUAUCAACCAAUUUAUGCAGUCAUUCACAUUUGUUAUCAAUACUAGAUUGCUUCCCUGUAGACUUUCUUCCUCAUCAGGCACCUAUUUCAAUUAUAUUACAAUUUCCUCUCAGCUUCAAGUUGGACAAAAGCUUUUCAAAGCUAGCUGUUUAAAAGUGGAAAACUAUUCUCUUCAGCACGGUUUAGGGAAAAUAAUGCUACUUGUGCUACAGCGUAUUAGCAAUAUACCACUAGGAACUGCACUUAGCAAGAAAAGCUAGUGACCAAAAUACAUCCUUGGGACGCCCAGAGCAUGUGGCUCCUUGUGGCUGCUGCUUCCAAAAGGGAAGCACAGGGCAGCCAGCACCCUGCUGCCACCCCUGCCUCCACCAUGCCCCUUCCACAGCAGAAGGCCUGUAGCAUCACUCUCUGGUUCUCAGAACUGCUGAUAUUCCUGAUUUUAUGUGCACCUGCAGUUGGCUAUUAUUUAGACAGCUUUUGUAUUAUUACAGGGUAGCCAUGACUGACCUCACCGUAAGCACUGCUGAGCAGCUGAGAAAUUCACUGGACAAACAUAAACACACUAUGCAUGGUUUUCGAGCAGUAUUUCACUGGAAGAAAACAAGGCCAAGCUAAUCAGGACUCCACGAGGCACAAUGGGGAAAGAAGCCAGCUGGCAGCAGACCCAAACGUGAGUGCAUCCCACUAUUCACAGAAGAUGGGAACAAAUGUGCAUGCAUCCACUGUACAAUAGAAAUAAUCUUCAAAGUUUGACCGGGCUGUAGCACAGCCAGAGGUUGGAAUUACACUCACAUGACUGUAGGACUUACAGCACAGAGACAGGUGAGAAAGAAUGAAGACACAUUUGAAUGAACUUCCUCUGAAGCCCCAGAGGAAGAUUCCUCUUUUGUCACAACACGUUACAAUGCUGCAGAGAUGCACUACGGUGGCAGGACGUCUCAGAUGUCCUCAGAUCAGUAUCUCAUCCCUGCUAGGUGAGUGGGACACACAGGGAGUCUACCACCUGGUUUAAACCUCCUUAAAACAUAUUUGCUGAUAGGUGGUUCUAUCUCUAAAUUCACACUGUGUACUGAAAGACUCACCACCACCUAGGAGUUGUGCUGAUGCUCUGGGACAUGGUGGGCUGCUGCAGUCCCACACAGUCACAGGACUGUGGGAGCCCACGUGUUUCUGGAGACUCUAACCCAGCACCUGCCACAGCUCCCCCCUCCUGGUAAAGACCACAAGCAAUACAAAGGCUAAACAGAUAACAGCUUGACAUAAGCAAGAGAAAGACGGUAGCCUUUGAAACCCAGCACGCAAGGAAGGGAAAAAAAUCUAGUGCUCCCAAGGUAGUGGUGUGAGACAAUUCAGUUUAAACACCAGCAAUCUGCCAUGAAACUCCAGAGUACACCUCAGGAUGCUAUUUUUCCCCCUAGCGUUUUUGAAUAACAGAAAGAGUAAAUCAUAUUUAACAGAAAACAGAAGUUUGUGUCCUUCUCCCCAUAACCAGGACAGUCCAUGUGGUCCUGGAGGCCAGAAGAAGCCACAUGUCCCCUUGGUGCUGCUGAGAAGAGCAGCACCAUGCUCACCAUUGACACAUGCAAAUAUGGAGACAGGAAAGGAAACACGCGCCUGAUGGAAAAGGAUGAAGUGAUAAAGUGAGGUGGAAAUGCAAAAGCACAGUUCACUAGAUCAGACUUAGUAGAUAACAUUACGAACAGGUAUUUGUAUUAUAUACUUGUACGCAUAUAAAAUCCAGAAGCAUCCUGAGGCGGAUGCCUUCUCCCUGGAAGGCCAGGUUGGAUGAGGAAUUGAGCAAUCAUAUCUACUAGAAGGUGUCCCUGCCCAUGGCAGGAGGGUUGGAAUGUAAUGGUAUUUAAGGUCCAUUUGAACUCAAAUCAUUGUAUGACUCUAUUACCUUAACUUUCAACUCACGUUCCUUCAAGAAGAUAGAACAAUUGACUGAUUUCCAUCCAUACUGCUCUUCAUGAAGCACUAAGAACAAAAAAAACCACUGGGAACAUCUCAAAAAGGAACAGAGUUAAAUAAACACUAAAAUGGAGAUACCCAAUGACACUGCUUGUGUGCUACCCAUCUAACACUAGGAGUUGUACGCUACAAUGAUGGCCUAAGAUCCUGGGAUUUGCUGAACUUUUGAGCCAGAACUUUAUCCAAUAAGAACAGUUGGAGCAUUGCAGUUAAAAAAAAAAAGACAUUUCUACUUUAGUUCAUUGGUCAGUAUAACAGUCAGUGCCCUCUGCAUUAUCAAACGUUUGCAUUUUAACACAAGAAAUCAUCAGUAUCCUGAAAUGUUAGUUAGAAUCUCUCAGCUAUUCACAGCUUAAUAACAUACAGAUGACACAUGCUGCAAAUGUUCAUUCUGCAUCAUCAAAUGAUCAAUUCAUGACCUUGCAGAUACUACAAAAUGCACACAAAUCUCGUGAACAACAACAACAAAAAUCCACAGUUCAUUUUUUA
rnacentral:lncRNA from 1 species